rnacentral:lncRNA from 1 species
AUCGGGAUCUUCGGGUGGGGGAGGUUUGUCAUAGUCCAAUUAGCUAGCUUUUUGGGGUGGCACGGGCUGAUGCCUUUGUCAUGCCAAUCCCAAGUGUGCAGAGGCUUGGCUAGCUGUCAAAUAGUGCUUAAGAUACUCCUCCAACAAAGCAUUCACCCUCUCCGUCUGACCAUCAGUUUAAGGAUGUGGAGAACUUUAGUUCAAAACCCAUCAAUUGAAAGAUAUAGGUCCAAAAUCUCUCUGUGAACCGAGCAUCUCUAUCACUGAUAAUAUCAGAAGGCAACCCGAAAUGUUUCAC